rnacentral:rRNA from 1 species
AAAUGAAUUGACGGGGGCCCGCACAAGCGGCGGAGCAUGCGGAUUAAUUCGAUGCAACGCGAAGAACCUUACCAAGGCUUGACAUAUACGAGAACACUCUAGAAAUAGAGGACUCUUUGGACACUCGUAUACAGGUGGUGCAUGGUUGUCGUCAGCUCGUGUCGUGAGAUGUUCGGUUAAGUCCGGCAACGAGCGCAACCCUCGUCCUAUGUUGCCAGCACGUAAUGGUGGGAACUCAUGGGAUACUGCCGUGGUCAACACGGAGGAAGGUGGGGAUGACGUCAAAUCAUCAUGCCCCUUAUGUCUUGGGCUUCACGCAUGCUACAAUGGCCGGUACAAAGGGCUGCGAAACCGCAAGGUGGAGCGAAUCCCAAAAAGCCGGUCUCAGUUCGGAUUGGGGUCUGCAACUCGACCCCAUGAAGUCGGAGUCGCUAGUAAUCGUAGAUCAGCAACGCUACGGUGAAUACGUUCCCGGGCCUUGUACACACCGCCCGU